GUUGCUUCAACUACUACAACUAGUACCACAACUACUACAUCUACAGCUGCUAAACCUGUCUCUACUUCUGCUACUGCUACUACUGUCACUACUAUUUGUAAGUAUUUAUCACUACUGGUACUGCUACUACUCCCAAUACUAUCAGCAGCACUGGUAUUACCACUACACGUCCUUCUACUACUAAAUCUACCACUACUAUUACUACAAGAACUUCAUCUUGUACUUGUAAUACUUGAGCUACUGUCUGUCAGCAUCGACCUUCAGAACCACAUCAGUCCAAACAUGAGGACGAUACAAGUCUAUUAAAGGAUCAGACACACAGCUGCUGACGUGGAGUUGAUCCAUGUCCAUUUCAGCUGAAGGUCUCACAUUGCUGACAUUCAACAGAUAAUGAAAUCACACACACACACACACACACACACACACACACACAGUGGGGGUGGGGGUCUUAUUCAUUCUUUCCACAGAGUGUAGUCGACCUGUGAACUGACAGAAAGUGAUGAAAAACAACCGUUAAACCACUUCCUCUUUCUGUCUCUGAUCGUAUCUGUUGUUUUUCAGAGCUGCUGUUCUUCAAACUCUUCAACAUUCAAUCACAGAACACUGUUAUUUCAGGAUUCCUUCACAUCAGUGUCUAGUUUUAAGUUUCAUUAACAAUCUUCAUCUGUUUUUUCCUUCAGGAACUACAGCUCCCAUGAGCCUUGGAUGUCUUAUUGAUGAUGAUGAAGUCCCUCCCUCCCUGACUCCAGUUUAUCUUCCGACCAAUCAGAGCUGACAGUUUGUCCUCGGAGCAGAAGCACAGGACGUGGUUGGAGGGGAGGAGUGAAGUAGACUGGAAAAAACGCUGCAUUAUGAAGGAGGAAACCUUAUAAGGACUCAAACUUCAACCAGUAAACCAUGAGCUGAAGUCUCCCAGGUGUGACUGCUUCAUCCAUGAUCGGAGAGAUGUCGCCCAUUAUUCGCAGAGGCAUGUGCGAAAGUCAGCAGUGAUUGGGGUCCCCGAAUACAAAGCACCACCUGUGUUCAAAGAAACAUUGUCGAUGAUCACAGAGAUGUCAUCCAUGAUCACAGAGAUUCUUCGUACAAUGAAGAAGUUCUUUGAGACCAGGACAGAGACCUCUGGAUAAUUCACCACAGCUUUACAUCAACUGCCCAACACAAAGCACUGACAUUAAACUGUUCAUGUUCAGUAUUAGGUAUAUCAGGAAAGUGUAAUAAUAAUAAUAGAAUAAUAAUAGUAAUCUGCAUUAUAAAAAUAAUGUAAUGAAGUACUGUAUGUAUAAGUAUUUACAACAUCAGAAAUAAGAUGUAAUAGUCAAAAAUGGCAUCAAAAGCCAUGAAAAAAUAUAAAAAAAGAUGUCAUAGUAUAGUUAGAUGUCAAAAAUCAUCAAAAAACGUCAUAGUAUAAUAAGGUGUCAAAAAUGUCAUAAAAAUGUCAUAGUAUAGUAAGGCGUCAAAAACCAAUAAAAACGUCAUAGUAUAGUAAGGCGUCAAAAACCAAUAAAAAACGUCAUAGUAUAGUAAGGUGUCAAAAAUGUCAUAAAAAUGUCAUAGAAGAGUAAGGUGUCAAAAAUGUCAUAAAAAUGUCAUAGUAUAGUAAGGCAUCAAAAAUGGCCAAAAAACGUCAUAGUAUAGUAAGGUGUCAAAAAUGUCAUAAAAAUGUCAUAGUAUAGUAAGGCAUCAAAAAUGGCCAAAAAACGUCAUAGUAUAGUAAGGCGUCAAAAACCAAUAAAAAACGUCAUAGUAUAGUAAGGCGUCAAAAAAUGUCAUAGUAUAGUAAGGUGUCAAAAAUGGUCAAAAAAUGUCAUAAUAUAGUAAGGCGUCAAAAAUGUCAGAAAAAUGUCAUAGUAUAGUAAGGCGUCAAAAUCCAUGAAAAAAGGUCACAAUAUAGUAAGGUGUCAAAUAUUGUCAAAAAUAGUAUAAGUAUAGUAACUUGUCGAAAAUGUCAGAAAAAUGUCAUACUAUAGUAAAGAUGUCAAAAACCAUCAAAAAAUGUCAUCGUAUAAUAAAGACGUCAAAAACCAAUAAAAAACGUCAUAGUAUAGUAAGGCGUCAAAAAUGGCCAAAAAAUGUCAUAGUAUAGUAAAGACGUCAAAAACCAUGAAAAAACGUCAUAGUACAGUAAGGUGUCAAAAAUGGUCAAAAAAUGUCAUAAUAUAGUAAGGCGUCAAAAAUGGCCAAAAAAUGUCAUAGUAUAGUAAGGCGUCAAAAACCAAUAAAAAACGUCAUAGUAUAGUAAGGCAUCAAAAACCAAUAAAAACGUCAUAGUAUAGUAAGGUGUCAAAAAUGUCAUAAAAAUGUCAUAGUAUAGUAAGGCAUCAAAAAUGGCCAAAAAACGUCAUAGUAUAGUAAGGCGUCAAAAACCAAUAAAAAACGUCAUAGUAUAGUAAGGCGUCAAAAAAUGUCAUAGUAUAGUAAGGUGUCAAAAAUGGUCAAAAAAUGUCAUAAUAUAGUAAGGCGUCAAAAAUGUCAGAAAAAUGUCAUAGUAUAGUAAGGCGUCAAAAUCCAUGAAAAAAGGUCACAAUAUAGUAAGGUGUCAAAUAUUGUCAAAAAUAGUAUAAGUAUAGUAACUUGUCGAAAAUGUCAGAAAAAUGUCAUACUAUAGUAAAGAUGUCAAAAACCAUCAAAAAAUGUCAUCGUAUAAUAAAGACGUCAAAAACCAAUAAAAAACGUCAUAGUAUAGUAAGGCGUCAAAAAUGGCCAAAAAAUGUCAUAGUAUAGUAAAGACGUCAAAAACCAUGAAAAAACGUCAUAGUACAGUAAGGUGUCAAAAAUGGUCAAAAAAUGUCAUAAUAUAGUAAGGCGUCAAAAAUGGCCAAAAAAUGUCAUAGUAUAGUAAGGCGUCAAAAACCAAUAAAAAACGUCAUAGUAUAGUAAGGCAUCAAAAACCAAUAAAAACGUCAUAGUAUAGUAAGGUGUCAAAAAUGUCAGAAAAAUGUCAUAGAAGAGUAAGGUGUCAAAAAUGUCAUAAAAAUGUCAUAGUAUAGUAAGGCGUCAAAAACCAAUAAAAACGUCAUAGUAUAGUAAGGCGUCAAAAACCAAUAAAAAACGUCAUAGUAUAGUAAGGCGUCAAAAAAUGUCAUAGUAUAGUAAGGCGUCAAAAAUGGUCAAAAAAUGUCAUAAUAUAGUAAGGCGUCAAAAAUGUCAGAAAAAUGUCAUAGUAUAGUAAGGCGUCAAAAUCCAUGAAAAAAGGUCACAAUAUAGUAAGGCGUCAAAAAUGGUCAAAAAAUGUCAUAAUAUAGUAAGGCGUCAAAAAAUGUCAUAGUAUAGUAAGGUGU